CAGUCGCCACGGUAAUACGAAGGGUGCAAGCGUUAAUCGGAAUUACUGGGCGUAAAGCGUGCGUAGGCGGUUUGUUAAGUCUGUUGUGAAAUCCCCGGGCUCAACCUGGGAAUGGCAAUGGAUACUGGCAAGCUAGAGUGUGUCAGAGGAUGGUAGAAUUCCCGGUGUAGCGGUGAAAUGCGUAGAGAUCGGGAGGAACAUCAGUGGCGAAGGCGGCCAUCUGGGACAACACUGACGCUGAGGCACGAAAGCGUGGGGAGCAAACAGGAUUAGAUACCCCUGUAGUCCCUGUCUCUUAUAC
rnacentral:rRNA from 1 species